ACACCAACGAUGAGGUCCAUGUUUGUCACCUUUGUGGCUCCUGGUACGAGACACGCAAGGGCCUGUCGAGUCACGCUCGCUUCCAUCUGCGCCAGUUUGGAAUCCCUGACAGUGAGAUCAAGGGCAGCCCUAUUGAUUUUCUGUAUCGGAUCAUGGAGGAGGAGGACCUCAAACCCAUCACCAGCAAGCAACAGGGUGAGCUCACAUCAAACGGUUCAAAGAGACCUUCCUCUAAACGCCCCUCUGAUCUGUCCUCUCCACCUGCAUCGCACCCCAGCAAACGGCCUAAAACAUCCGAGGAUUGUACUUGCGUUCUGUGUGGGGAGUCAUUUGAGAACCGAAAAGGCCUGGCCAGCCACGCACGCUCUCACUUACGCCACAUUGGGGUGAGUGAGUUAGUGGGGAAAAGCUCUGCAAUUGACGCCGUCCAGGAGCUGGUCAGCAGCGGUGUUUUAGAAGCCGUACAGCCUCUGAAAACAAACAGUACAGCCGCCAGCUCAUUUGCAGCACCAUCUCCAGCACCUCCAUCUCCCACAGCCCUGGCUUUGUCUCCAGGUCCAAGCCAAUCCUGGACCUCAUUUUCCUCAACAUCGAUCUCCUCAACUCCUGUGAAGAGCUGCCAGUCUCCUCAGGCUGCGGUAAACAAGGCGCCAAAGGCUAAGAAAGGAUUUCGGCUAGCAGUUGACCCCCUCCUCAGGAAACCCAAGCCUGAGCCUGUAGAGACAGAAGUGUCUGUUCAACCAAAGGCAUCCAGCAGCAGCUCUCCUCUGCAGAAGUCACCUACUACCAUUGUUUCUCCAAAGCCUCUUGAAUCAGAUGUGCGGUCUCCUCCAACAGUCCUUUGUGACUUCUGUGGGCAGCUGUUUGAGACCCGUAAAGCCCUGUCGUGCCACGUUCGUGCCCACCUGCGGCAGCUCGGCCUCACUUGGUCAAUUAAAACAUCACCAAUCGAUCUCCUCAAAGAAGUCAUGCUGAACAGCGAGGAAAGAAAGACUUAGUGUCCGGUGCUUCCUCAGCCCCGGGGAAGUCCAGGUGGACCCAUCAAGGUUCCAGAAGGUCCUUAGACAGCCUCACAUCUGGAGAACCAGCCUCCAACAUCUGCACCUCACCUCUUGAUUAUUCCAUGAAAGAGAAAUCGCUGUCUGGCAAGAGUGGAGCCUCACACGCUGACACCUCAUGUGAGCUUUGUGGGUUCGACUUUGAAAACCGCAAGGCCUUAGCCAGUCACGCUCGAGCCCACCUCCGUCAGCUGGGCAUCAUCGAAUGGAAGGCGGACGGAGCGAGUUCACCGAUCGAACUCCUCAGCGAGUUGAUCCGAAGAGACCCAGAGAAGGUGGCAGUAAUAACCAGACGCUAUCGUGUGGGAGACCUUUACAUCAAGAAGUCUCAGAGACCUGCUGCUUCGCCCUCUUUGUCCACAGACUCCGAUCGAUGGCCGGCGGCAGCAGCCUCAAGUAUUCACAAGGCCACGCUCGCACUAUGGUAACUCACAGCAACUCCAGUGUGCGCUCCCCAAGAGGGGUUCAUCCACCAAAGAAGUACGUAGUGCCUAAAGGGGAGGAAAAUCAGGACACCAACUCCCAGCAGCCAUCACGGUCCGGCAGCAUCCCUGCUCUGCUGCCAAAGCCUCCACUCACUCCACUGGUCAAACUGGUGGGCAAAAUUUACUCCCUCAAGUGC